UACGGAGCACACGUUCUUAUUGCGGGCUGCAAUGCUCUGCUUUUACUUAUCCAGUUUAUCAUGUCCCUACACUACUCCCUAGCAAGUACAAUUCAGUUUAUGCAUGCAAAAAACCGUGAACUGACGAAUGUCCAGUAUUCCACUGGCAAAAAGUCCUCGAACUCCUACAUACGCAUUCUAAGAAAACGUGUGGGAGCAUUGAGAAAGGUUGGUCGGAUGAUUCGAAGGGCAACUGCGAAUUGGCAAUGGUAUUGGUAGCCCGUAUCAACCUUCUGUUCCUUCUGCAAAUGACAUUGCCAAGGAUUAGAGAAAAACUUCAAAUGCCUCCGCUUCCUCAUCAUCGGGUUAUGCCUCCGCUUCCUCUAGCUUAUGCUCCUCGUCCUUCAAGAUCUCUUCUUCAUCCCACCUACUCACGCCAAGGAAGAGCUCGUCAGAAAUCUCGCUGGCGGCGUUCCGGACAGCUUCCUCCACGGCCUCCACUUCCUGGAGCCUCGCGCCACGGCAAACGAUCUCAACCUGGAGGUGCCUCAGGGAGGAGGAGAGGCGCCCGAUUCCGAGAUCCCGAACACCGGCAUGCGAAGAGCACGCGCCACGCGCGUUGCAUGGGAUCCGGAGCUUCUCGAGCGCCGGCAUGGCCCCCGGUUCGAAAGCCAGCCCGGUCCCGACUUCCCAGCAGGUGAAGUAGAACUCCCUGAGGCAACGGAAACCGUGGCUGCCGACAGCGACGCCUUCUCCAGGCCUGGCCUCUCUCGAGGAUAUCCAGAGGAACAGCAGGGACGGCAGGUCCCCCAGGGUUCGGAACGACUCCUCGUCCACCGGAGUGAGGUAUAUGUCCAGG
rnacentral:misc_RNA from 1 species